CAGAACCAAUCAGUGAGGAGUCUUCUCUGUUCUUUAUGAAAUGCAGGUCAUCUUCGAUUGGGCUUCUCUCUGGUCCACCCCUAACUGCCUGUCUCAAUGCUGUGGUUUCAAGUCCUUAAUCCUAGAGAAGGAGUGGCUCUUCCCUGGUUGUCCAGGGAGUAUUACUGAGGUCCCCACUGAGAGUCUCAAUCUCCUGCAAGGAAAUAUGACAGAAGGUGAAAGAAAGACACAGAAAUAAGACUUAAACAGAAAGCAAGGAUCUGGUAUCAUCUGAGCUGAUCUGGGCAGCAAAGACAAAAGGCACACAAAACCUCCUGUGUUUACUGAUUACAAGCACGGGAAUAGGGCAGGGUAUAUGUGAGACACUUGCCAAGACUAGUCAUCACAAGCAAGCUCAUAACAGAGGGGCAGGCCUGCAGGAGAAACAAAGGGAGACCAGGACUCGGUUGCAGUUAACCGGUAACUGAUCAGGUCAGUGGGGGAGGCCGCAAUGCAGGGAAAGGAAUUUAGUUGGAGCCACACUGUUCUCAGCCAUGAUGUUAUCUCAAUCAGGGUCCUGCAGCUUCACAGACCAGGACAGAGUCUCCUCUACAGCCUGCCAGUAAACUGGACAGGAGCAGCUGGAGAGACCCCACAGGGUCACCACUGCAGGAAUGCCAUCUCAAGGAGAAUAGAUAUUCCAGGAUCCAGAGGGUGCAGGAGCAGCACAAAGACUUGUCAGAGGGAUGACCUGAGGCAGCCCUGGAUCUGAGGAGCAGAGGAGCAGGGCACACAGCAGCCACCUGGGAGACUCACAGGGAAAGGACAGGAAGACGCCAGUGGUGAGGACACAGUGAGCUUUUUAUUUUUUGACAAGGUGAAGCCCGGGGAGGUACAAUCCUCAGUGGGACUUGAGAUGCGGGCAUGAGCCAGGAUGUGGACUCUGGGAGAGCUGGAACCCAGGACAGGAACCCAGCACCAAGGCUGAAGCAGCCAGGGCAGAACAUGUUGGAAAGCACGCGUCAAGAUGAGCCGCUCCCUGGCUCUUGGGAUUCUUGUUUCCUCCGAAAUCCAGGUCUCAGCAUCAGGUCCAGGUCAGCAGCCGCCCCCAGAGCUGUGGCCACAGCCAGAGCCCCCACACUGCCGGCCGCUGGCACCAUCA
rnacentral:lncRNA from 1 species